rnacentral:rRNA from 1 species
GUGGGGAAUAUUGGACAAUGGGCGAAAGCCUGAUCCAGCCAUGCCGCGUGUGUGAAGAAGGUCUUCGGAUUGUAAAGCACUUUAAGUUGGGAGGAAGGGCAGUAAGUUAAUACCUUGCUGUUUUGACGUUACCGACAGAAUAAGCACCGGCUAACUUCGUGCCAGCAGCCGCGGUAAUACGAAGGGUGCAAGCGUUAAUCGGAAUUACUGGGCGUAAAGCGCGCGUAGGUGGUUUUGUAAGUUGGAGGUGAAAUCCCCGGGCUCAACCUGGGAACUGCCUCCAAAACUGCAUGACUAGAGUACGGUAGAGGGUAGUGGAAUUUCCUGUGUAGCGGUGAAAUGCGUAGAUAUAGGAAGGGACACCAGUGGCGAAGGCGACUACCUGGACUGAUACUGACACUGAGGUGCGAAAGCGUGGGGAGCAAACAGGAUUAGAAACCCCUGUAGUCC